rnacentral:rRNA from 1 species
AAUAUUGGACAUUGUUCGAAAGCCUGAUCCAGCCAUGCCGCGUGUGUGAAGAAGGUCAUAGGUUUGUAAAGCACUUUUAGUUGGGAGGAAUGGCAGUAAGUUAAUACCUUGCUGUUUUGACGUUACCGACAGAAUAAGCACCGGCCAACUUCGUGCCAGCAGCCGAGGUAAUACGACGGGUGCAAGCGUUAUCCGGAAUUACUGGGCGUAAAGCGCGCGUAGGUGGUUUGUCAAGUUGGAAGUGAAAGCCCCGGGCUCAACCUGGGAACUGCUUUCAUAACUGCUGAGCUAGAGUACGGUAGAGGGUAGUGGAAUUUCCUGUGUAGCGGUGAAAUGCGUAGAUAUAGGAAGGAACACCAGUGGCGAAGGCGACUACCUGGACUGAUACUGACACUGAGGUGCGAAAGCGUGGGGAGCAAAC